GACGAACGCUGGCGGCGUGCUUAACACAUGCAAGUCGAGCGGUAAGGCCUUUCGGGGUACACGAGCGGCGAACGGGUGAGUAACACGUGGGUGAUCUGCCCUGCACUUCGGGAUAAGCCUGGGAAACUGGGUCUACUACCGGAUAUGACCUCCUAUCGCAUGGUGGGUGGUGGAAAGAUUUAUCGGUGCAGGAUGGGCCCGCGGCCUAUCAGCUUGUUGGUGGGGUAAUGGCCUACCAAGGCGACGACGGGUAGCCGACCUGAGAGGGUGACCGGCCACACUGGGACUGAGACACGGCCCAGACUCCUACGGGAGGCAGCAGUGGGGAAUAUUGCACAAUGGGCGAAAGCCUGAUGCAGCGACGCCGCGUGAGGGAUGACGGCCUUCGGGUUGUAAACCUCUUUCAGCAGGGACGAAGCGCAAGUGACGGUACCUGCAGAAGAAGCACCGGCUAACUACGUG
rnacentral:rRNA from 1 species